rnacentral:rRNA from 1 species
AUACGGAGGGGGCUAGCGUUGUUCGGAAUUACUGGGCGUAAAGCGCGCGUAGGCGGACCUGUAAGUCGGGGGUGAAAGCCCGAGGCUCAACCUCGGAACUGCCUUCGAUACUACAGGUCUUGAGUCCGAGAGAGGUGAGUGGAAUUCCUAGUGUAGAGGUGAAAUUCGUAGAUAUUAGGAAGAACACCAGUGGCGAAGGCGGCUCACUGGCUCGGUACUGACGCUGAGGUGCGAAAGCGUGGGGAGCAAACAGGAUUAGAAACCCCGGUAGUCC